rnacentral:tRNA from 6 species
GAAUAAUUAACUCAAUUGGUAGAGUAUUUCGUUUACACCGAAAAUGUUAGCGGUUCGAGUCCGUUAUUAUUCA